UACAGAGGUCCCAAGCGUUGUUCGGAUUCAUUGGGCGUAAAGGGUGCGUAGGCGGCGCGGUAAGUCGGGUGUGAAAUCUCGGAGCUUAACUCCGAAACUGCAUUCGAUACUGCCGUGCUUGAGGACUGGAGAGGAGACUGGAAUUUACGGUGUAGCGGUGAAAUGCGUAGAUAUCGUAAGGAAGACCAGUGGCGAAGGCGGUUCUCUGGACAGUUCCUGACGCUGAGGCACGAAGGUCAGGGGAGCAAUCGGG
rnacentral:rRNA from 1 species